CUUCUUGAUCCUGAAGUGGAUUAGGUGCCGCUGUUGCUGCUCUUGUUGAAUCUAGAACUGUAGCCAGACAUGGGACUGGAGGACGAGCGAAAGAUGCUUCCGGAGUCCGGAGAUCCUGAGGAGGAGGAAGAGGAAGAGGAGGAAUUAGUGGAUCCCCUAACAACAGUGAGAGAGCAAUGCGAGCAGUUGGAGAAAUGUGUAAAGGCCCGGGAGCGGCUAGAGCUCUGUGAUGAGCAUGUAUCCUCUCGAUCACAUACAGAAGAGGAUUGCACGGAGGAGCUCUUAGACUUCUUGUAUGCAAGGGACCAUUGCAUGGCCCACAAACUCUUUAACAACUUGAAAUAAGUGUGUGGACUUAUUCACCCCAGCCUUCAUCUUCUGGGCAUCAGAAUAUUUCCUUAUGGUUUUGGAUUUACCAUUUGUUUCUUAUUUGUGUAACUGUAAGUUCACAUGAACCUCAUGGAUUUUGGCUUAGGCUGGUAGCUUCUAUGUAAUUCGCAGUGAUUCCAUCUUAAUAAAAUUCUGUGUUCUGUGAUCUGCAAAAAAAAAAAAAA